GCCGAGGUAGCUCAGUUGGUUAGAGCGUUCGCCUGAAGAGCGAUAGGUCGGCAGUUCGAUUCUGCCCCUCGGCA
rnacentral:tRNA from 1 species